rnacentral:rRNA from 1 species
GACAACUUUUAACGGUGGAUCUCUUGGCUCGUGCAUCGAUGAAGAACGCAGCCAGGUGCGAUAAGUAGUGUGAAUUGCAGAAUUCAGUGAAUCAUCGAAUAUUUGAACGCAAAUGGCGCUCUUGGGUUCUCCCAGGAGCAUGCCUGUCUGAGUGUCGG